UUGUCUCCCAGGCUGGAAUGCAGUGGUGUGAUCACAGCUCACUGCAGCCCUCUGAUCCUUUCUAAUUCCAUCCUUGGGCUACACACAAAUGACUAUUUAGUGGUAUUUCCUAUAUGAAUUUAAGCUCCAGUAAAUCAUUUCCACUCCCUGUGUCUGAUUCUUCAUCUAUGAAAAGCAUUCUGCUUACUCUUUUAGUGGAGGUCGGGGGAAGGCAAGAUGGGGAGGUGCAGUUUCUACCUAACUGGAAACUUAAACAAAGGAUGACAUUUUUCACUUACACCUGUCAUUGGAAAUUAUAAACUGUUCUUCCAGCCCAAGACUAGGCAAGUCUUCGAAGGAAGUGGUUGUAGUACUGCCUCUGGUAUCAAGCUAAGAGACAUUAUCUUGGAAUGCUAACCUGAAUAUGUGAAGAAAUUUUCAUUUCCAAGAGUCCAGAGAGGCUCUCAAAUACAUUUUUCUUUUUUCACUUUAAUGUGAUUUUCUUUUAAUCUUGACAUAUGUACUACAGAUAAAAUCUUGCAUAAUUUGAUAUUUUUAUUUGGACUAUAACCUCUAGGUGACUGUCAGUAUUAGUAAAGGAAUGAUUCAGUGCAGGAAUAUUGCUCAGCUAAUCUUGUGACAUUUUGAGCAUGAGUUGUCAUUUUUCUGGCAUGGUUUGUUAUUGAACAAAUUAGAUUUCCUAAGAACACGGUGGCCAUUACUUUUUCUGAUGUAAUGAAACACUCGGUUAACUUGUUUUAGGUCGCCUUGCAAAUCUGCACUACAUUACUUUCAUUUUCCUCAAAUCUCACAAAUCAUUUGGUCUGAGAGCUUGAAUGAGAAUUCUCCAAAGUAAACUUGAAAGCUUCAAGGUCCCACAGCAAUAUUCUCCAAGAGACUACUUGGCCACAUCUGCAGAGGGCUGAGGUUUUGGGUGGGCUUCACAGUCUCUAAGGCCUCCUGUGUCCUAUGGCCUUGGUGAAGGCUCUUAUGUGGUUCUCAAGAAGCCCAUGUUUUAAGAAGUCCACCUUUUAUUUCAAGAUUCAGCACUACCACUGAGGAAGGAGCAUGACAAGCAAAAUUUAUUUGGAUAAUUCAGUAAAUGACAUAUUUGAUUUGGAAGCAUAGUUUGUCAGAAUGCAGGAAACAAGGGAAUGACAAGGCAGCAUCAUGUGCAGGGAGAAGAGGCACAAGAAUGUGGAAUAUGUGACCCAUGUACAUGAAGAUAUUCCUGGUUCACUCAAAAGUACGAUUUUGAGAAGCCCACCUAGAGUCAGAAGGCCCUUGAAAGAUGCAGACCCUCAACUUUGGACUUCCCAGCCUCUAGAACUGUAAGAAAUAAAUCUCUGUUCUUUGCAAAUUA